AAGCUCGUAGUUGGAUUCUGCUGAAGCAACCGGUCCGCCCUCUGAGUGAGCAUCUGGUUUUGCUUUGGCAUAUGCUUAGACUUUGCAGCUGCACUUGACUGUGUGGUGUAAAGGCUGAGCCUUUUACUUUGAGGAAAUCAGAGUGUUUCAAGCAGGCCAUCGCCUUGAAUACACUAGCAUGGAAUAAUAUGAUAUGACUGUGGUUUUAUUUUGUUGGCUUUUAGAAUUAGAGUAAUGGUUAAUAGGGAUAGUUGGGGGCAUUCAUAUUUAACUGUCAGAGGUGAAAUUCUUGGAUUUGUUAAGGAUGAACGACUGCAAAAGCAUUUGCCAAGGAUGCUUUCAUUGAUCAAGAACGAAAGUUAGGGGAUCGAAGACAAUA
rnacentral:rRNA from 1 species